AUCCAUUCCAAAUUCGAAAUCUUACUGUGUUUUAACCUACGUAACAUGUCUGUUUACCCUAUCACUAUCCCAACAAACCAAUUAGCAUAAUUUGGACGUACUAAUAUGACAACAACUAAGUUGCAACGCAAUCCUUGUAACGGCAUAAACGCGAUGACAAAGAAAUUGACUAAGUGGAAACCAACUUCGAACGCGAAUAAAACAUUUGUGUGAAAAGAUGACAUCUAAAUUAAGGUUAUGGUUCGCACCUUAUUCGGAACUUUCUCUAGAAGGAGAUGGAGCAUUUUGUAAACCAUGCGGC